UACGUAGGGGGCUAGCGUUGUCCGGAUUUAUUGGGCGUAAAGAGCGUGUAGGCGGCCUGGUAGGUCUGCUGUGAAAACUCGAGGCUCAACCUCGAGACGUCGGCGGAAACCAUCUGGCUAGAGUCCGGAAGAGGAGAGUGGAAUUCCUGGUGUAGCGGUGAAAUGCGCAGAUAUCAGGAAGAACACCCGUGGCGAAGGCGGCUCUCUAGGACGGUACUGACGCUGAGACGCGAAAGCGUGGGGAGCGAACAGG
rnacentral:rRNA from 1 species